rnacentral:tRNA from 1 species
AGUUAUUUUGUAGGUUUAUUUUGAAAAUAAACGGUAAGCAAGUAAAGUUGCUUAAUGGCUU